CCCUGGUUAGCUCAGUUGGUAGAGCGCGCCACUGGAAAUCGGGAGGUCCCGGGUUCGAUGCCCGGACCCGGCG
rnacentral:tRNA from 1 species